rnacentral:rRNA from 1 species
GUAGUCCACGCCGUAAACGAUGGAUGCUUGUUGUUGGAUAGGUCAACCCUUCCAGUAACGAAGCUAACGCGUUAAGCAUCCCGCCUGGGGAGUACGGUCGCAAGAUUAAAACUCAAAGAAAUUGACGGGGACCCGCACAAGCAGUGGAGCAUGUGGUUCAAUUCGACGCAACGCGAAGAACCUUAUCCUGGUCUUGACAUCCUUUGACCGCCUUCGAAAGUUGGCUUUCCCUUCGGGGACAAAGAGACAGGUGCUGCAUGGCUGUCGUCAGCUCGUGUCGUGAGAUGUUGGGUUAAGUCCCGUAACGAGCGCAACCCACGCCUCUUGUUGCCAUCAUUAAGUUGGGCACUCUAGAGGGACUGCCAGUGUUAAACUGGA